UAACGAGCGCAACCCUCGCUGUGUGUUACAAGUGUCACAACGGUACUGCCGGGUAUUAAGUCGGAGGAAGGUGGGGAUGACGUCAAGUCAGCAUGACCUUUAUAUCCAGGGCUACACACACGCUACAAUGGUCAGUACAAUAGGUUGCCAAGCCGCGAGGCGGAGCCAAUCCUAAAAAGCUGGCCUCAGUUCAGAUUGCAGUCUGCAACUCGACUGCAUGAAGUUGGAGUUGCUAGUAACCGCAGGUCAGCUAUACUGCGGUGAAUACGUUCCCGGGGAUU
rnacentral:rRNA from 1 species